rnacentral:lncRNA from 1 species
GUUGAUAUGCAACCUACAAUUUAAUCAGGUUAGGAUCUAAAUUGAGCAUACACAUUUUAAUUAUGUGUCCAUUAGCCGUCGUCUUGUUAGGAUCGCUCAGCUAAUUCAGGUGCAUUUCAAUCACGUAUGAAGGAAAUACAGACUUGAUUUUAAUUGAAAACAUGAUCGAUUGAGGGACAAACAUUAUACGCAUGAAUCAAAUAAAUAUUAUUUAAUUAAAAUAAUCAUCCU